GACGAACGCUGGCGGCGUGCUUAACACAUGCAAGUCGAACGGAAAGGCCCUGCUUUUGUGGGGUGCUCGAGUGGCGAACGGGUGAGUAACACGUGAGUAACCUGCCCUUGACUUUGGGAUAACUUCAGGAAACUGGGGCUAAUACCGGAUAGGAGCUCCUGCUGCAUGGUGGGGGUUGGAAAGUUUCGGCGGUUGGGGAUGGACUCGCGGCUUAUCAGCUUGUUGGUGGGGUAGUGGCUUACCAAGGCUUUGACGGGUAGCCGGCCUGAGAGGGUGACCGGCCACAUUGGGACUGAGGUACGGCCCAGACUCCUACGGGAGGCAGCAGUGGGGAAUAUUGCACAAUGGGCGGAAGCCUGAUGCAGCAACGCCGCGGGCGGGAUGACGGCCUUCGGGUUGUAAACCGCUUUCGCCUGUGACGAAGCGUGAGUGACGGUAAUGGGUAAAGAAGCACCGGCUAACUACGUG
rnacentral:rRNA from 1 species